GAAAAAUCAAAGGAUGUUUAUAAUGAGAAAAUUAUAUGUCGAAGGGGAAGGCAGUAAUUCUUGACAAUAUUAUAAGAAAAUUCUUAAAAUAGCACCAAUUUUUCUUGUUAACAGCAUUGGAAAUGAGAGAGCAGCAGUAUUUUGCUACAAUAUUUUAGCACCUGCUGUCCUGCAGGUACUUUAUGAAGCAUGUUCCACAAAUCGUCUCAUUGAUUCCUCAUGGGAAUCAUGCUGGCAUGAUUGUCUCCAUUUUGCUGAUGAAGAAACAGAGGCUUUGAGGAAUUUAGUGACUUGCCCAGAUUGCUCAGCAUUCAAGAAGCCUUGUCUGACUGCCACGCUCUUGCUCUUUCCAUUACCCCAUACGGGCUCCACUGGCCACUCUGCUAAUGCUGACUUGGCCUCCUAAAUGUCUAUCAGGCACUCCAAGCAUGGUCCUACCUCAGGGCCUUUGCACUUGAUCUCUCAGCCAUUUAUACCACUCACUUCCUCAUAUCAUCCACACCUUAAUAUCAUUUCCUCAGAGAGGCUGUGGCAGACCACACUAUCCAAAAUAGAACUUCUCCUUUCCCAUGGCCACGGCUCUGUUUUGUAUUUUUUGUAUGCUUGUAGCACACACUCAGCUAUGACUAUGUUACAUUAUGUGAUACAACUUGAGUUCAACUAUUUCCUAAACUUUUAGAACUGAAGACAUUUGGAGACUGGUUGCAGAUGACUUACUUUUGUAGUUAUUGUGUUUCCCUCCAUUUGUUUUGUGUUUGUAAGUAGCAGUUUUACCAUUUACCGAUGCAUAUGGUUUAAGCAGAUAAUAGAAGGAGCCAAACUGAAAGCAGGUGAGCAGCAUCACCACCCCUGUGGAAACUUUUAUUGUAUUCCUUUUGAUUUGUGGGCAUUUAUUAUUUUCUGUUUCUUCUUUUAUUGCUAUAAGCACCAGUUUCCAUCCCCAGAAAAGGUUAACUAAAAAUUAAUCCACAAAAAGAUUAAAA
rnacentral:lncRNA from 1 species